rnacentral:rRNA from 1 species
UACGGGGGGGGCAAGCGUUGUUCGGAAUUACUGGGCGUAAAGGGCUCGUAGGCGGUCUGUUGCGUCGGGAGUGAAAACUCAGGGCUUAACCCUGAGCCUGCUUCCGAUACGGGCAGACUAGAGGUAUGCAGGGGAGAACGGAAUUCCUGGUGUAGCGGUGAAAUGCGCAGAUAUCAGGAGGAACACCGGUGGCGAAGGCGGAUCUCUGGGCCGUAACUGACGCUGAGGAGCGAAAGCAUGGGGAGCGAACAGG